CGGUGUCUUUGAUGACCCACGGUUACCUACAUUGUUUGAUCCUCGUGAGAACAGCACUGGCUGAGACACCU
rnacentral:snoRNA from 1 species